AACGAACGCUGGCGGCAUGCCUAACACAUGCAAGUCGAACGAGACCUUCGGGUCUAGUGGCGCACGGGUGCGUAACGCGUGGGAACCUACCCUUGGGUUCGGAAUAACAGUUAGAAAUGACUGCUAAUACCGGAUGAUGACGUAAGUCCAAAGAUUUAUCGCCCAAGGAUGAGCCCGCGUAAGAUUAGCUUGUUGGUGGGGUAAUGGCCUACCAAGGCGACGAUCUUUAGCUGGUCUGAGAGGAUGAUCAGCCACACUGGGACUGAGACACGGCCCAGACUCCUACGGGAGGCAGCAGUGGGGAAUAUUGGACAAUGGGCGAAAGCCUGGUCCAGCAAUGCCGCGUGAGUGAUGAAGGCCUCAGGGUUGUAAGGCUCUUUUACCAGGGAUGAUAAUGACAGUACCUGGAGAAUAAGCUCCGGCUAACUCCGUGCCAGCCGCCGCAGUAA
rnacentral:rRNA from 1 species